GUCAGAUGAUUUGAAUUGUUAUGCUGAUGUUUUGUUAGUGUGACAGGGAUAACAUGUUAGAAUUCUGAUUGCA